GACGAACGCUGGCGGCGUGCUUAACACAUGCAAGUCGUACGGUAAGGCCCUUUCGGGGGUCCACGAGUGGCGAACGGGUGAGUAACACGUGAGUAACCUGCCCACAACUUUGGGAUAACGCUAGGAAACUGGUGCUAAUACUGGAUAUGUGCUCCUGCUGCAUGGUGGGGGUUUGAAAGCUCCGGCGGUUGUGGAUGGACUCGCGGCCUAUCAGCUUGUUGGUGGGGUAGUGGCCUACCAAGGCGGCGACGGGUAGCCGGCCUGAGAGGGUGACCGGCCACAUUGGGACUGAGAUACGGCCCAGACUCCUACGGGAGGCAGCAGUGGGGAAUAUUGCACAAUGGGCGCAAGCCUGAUGCAGCAACGCCGCGUGCGGGAUGACGGCCUUCGGGUUGUAAACCGCUUUCAGCAGGGACGAAGCUUUUUGUGACGGUACCUGCAGAAGAAGCACCGGCUAACUACGUG
rnacentral:rRNA from 1 species